rnacentral:rRNA from 1 species
CAUGCAGGCGGAUAAGCAAGUAAGGUGUGAAAUACCCGGGCUCAACCUGGGAACUGCACUUUAAACUACAUAUCUAGAGUAUUGCAGGGGAGAUGGAAUUCCAGGUGUAGCGGUUGGAAUGCGUAGAUAUCUGGGAAGAACACCGGAGGCGAAGGCGAUCUCCUGGGCAAAUACUGACGCUCAUAUGCGAAAAGCGUGGGAAAGCAAAACCA